UGGGAGUAGUGGUGUGUGGGUUCACACAGUAAUGACGGCCUCAGGUGAUCAGGAGAAACUCACCUGGAUUUCCUUUUUCCACAGCAGACUGAGAGCUUCAGGUGGACCCUGAAGGAGGUCUCAGACACAGGCAGAGAGAGGUCGUGGAGCGUCAAUCCUAUGGUAUCUGAGGUCCAGUAGAGAUGGCCUGCGCUGUUUUCCUCUGAGGAGAAUUUCAUCGGAUCACAAGCAAAGACGAUGCGUGGACCUUCAGUGUAUCCCUUGACAAAUUUGUGCCUGGCCUGCUGAAACUGUACUGGUCUAAGAAGGGAGCUCGUGGUGAAGAAAUGGAAGACCUCCUGGAUACACUUGAUGAACAGGACUCUGACAUUUUGGAACCAGUGUUGAACAGUUGUCAUCCUCACCAUCCUACAAGAUGACGAGGAUGAUACGUCUGUGCGGGAACAUGCAGUUGUGUUGGAGGGGGACAUCUUCCUACAUAACAUUCCAGACCUCUCUACUGCCCCGGCAUACCUCUUUGGCCUUCUGUAUGCCCUCAACAUUGAUUAUCCAAAGCAGAGGAGUUAUACAUUUGAAGCAAUUCAGGCCAUCUUUCUUUUUAGUUCAAUGGCUCUCGAUGCUCACAGCGCACAAGGUCUCUGAAAACAAAGCCUUUGCUGUGACUGUUAAUAGGGAAGCCUUGUGUUUUUUAGGCUGUUCCUGUGCAUUGUAGUUGAGUCAUGUAAAAAACAGUAGUUAAAACCCUUUCCCUCUAUAUAAUCAUUCACCUGUUACAAAGAGUUGCUUAUUUAGUCUUUGAACUGUUAAAAUUAAUUAGGAAUAAAUGAAGGAAAGAGGGAGGAAAGGAAGAAGGGAAAAAGGAAUGAACAGUCAAAACAGAGUGGGUCAUUUUGACCUGGUCUGACAAUACGAAGGUGAAGUGGAUAAAAGAUUAUUCGAAAUGUAAAUUUUAGUCAGAUGAAUCUGUAUUGUUGAGAAUAUAUGGUGAAAUUUUGUCUUGUGGUAUUUUAAAAGGUUUAUUUUGGUGCUGCCCAAUUCACAUGAAGCCCAGAACUGGUAUUUUACCUGUUAGUUUCCUGGUCAUUGAUGGUAACA